rnacentral:rRNA from 1 species
CCUACGGGUGGCAGCAGUGGGGAAUAUUUGGCAAUGGGGGAAACCCUGAUGAAGCAACGCCGCGUGAAGGAAUAAGGGUUUCGGGUUGUAAACUCCUUUUAAGAGGGAAGCGAAUAAGAAGGUACGUCUUGAAUAAGCAACGGAGAACUACGUGUCAGCAGCCGCGGUAGUACGUACGUGGCAAGCGUUGUCCGGAUUUACUGGGUGGAAAUGCCGUGCAGCGGGGAAGACAAGUCAGAUGUGAAAUCCGGGGGCUCAACCGCGGAACUGCAUUUGAAAAUGUUUUUCUUGAGUACCGGAGAGGUCAUCGGAAUUCCUUGUGUAGCGGUGAAAUGCGUAGAUAUAAGGAAGAACACCAGUGGCGAAGGCGGAUGACUGGACGGCAACUGACGGUGAGGCGCGAAAGCGUGGGGAGCAAACAGGAUUAGAUACCCUUGUAGUC